GGAUGUGAGGGCGAUCUGGCUGCGACAUCUGUCACCCCAUUGAUCGCCAGGGUUGAUUCGGCUGAUCUGGCUGGCUAGGCGGGUGUCCCCUUCCUCCCUCACCGCUCCAUGUGCGUCCCUCCCGAAGCUGCGCGCUCGGUCGAAGAGGACGACCAUCCCCGAUAGAGGAGGACCGGUCUUCAGUCAAGGGUAUACGAGUAGCUGUGCUCCCCUGCUAGAACCUCCAAACAAGCUCUAUUCACUUACUGGAGGCCAUCUCGGUUGCUUCCAAGUUUUGGCAGUUAUGAAUAAGUUUGGCAUAAGUGUUCAUGUGCAGGUUUUU
ensembl:misc_RNA 7SK 7SK RNA